ACCUUCAUGCUGCUUUUUUAUCUUUAGCUUAGAUUAAGAGGAUCCUGAAAGUAAAGUUGUAGAUUUUUUUGGAUAGAGUAUUCUUAAUUAAUUUGGCUAAAUUUUCAUAUGACUCGUAAUCUAAAAAAGGAAGUAAGUAGAAAUUUCAGGACCCGUUCCUCAGGCCUGAAAAAUCAGUAGUGACGAGGCUACAGACAUGAAGAUUUUAAAGCAAUAAAUGCCUUGUCGUUUUUCUUCUGUGUUUGCUGAGAGCAAAGGAGUAGCAUCAGCUUUGUUUUCAUUUGAUGCCCCCAAACAGGAAGACAAUAGCAGAUUUCCUCAUUUCUUAGUCAAAGGUCUGUCUUGACCAUACUCACCAAGGUUCUUUGGAAAAGUUAACCUCGCUUGUGCUUUGAGAUGAUUCUACUGUUCUCCUGAAGAUAUAAACAUACACACACAUCAUCACCAUCAUCCUGGAGCCUGACACAGGCUAAAACCAGCUGCUGAAGAUGCAGAAGCAGCCUUGCUAACGUGCAGCAGUGACGUGACUCACGGUCGGCUGACAUGGCAGGAAGUCACCUCAAGCUGCACUGACAGACGGGAAAGUCCAGAGCAGAUUGAAUGUACUUUUUAAGAAAAGGAAACAAAGGAGGCACUUUGUAGCUGAUGGGCUGUGUCACAAGGUCAGAAAGCCCAAUUACAUUUGAUAGUUCUUUGCAAGGCACAGGAGUACCCUGGGAAUGCAUUGAUUUUAUAUAAAGACAUUACUAUAAUAUUUGCAAGCUACGCAUAUAUGUUUUAGUCAUCAAAUACAGAACAGCAUUCUUGUCGGCAGAAUGAAAUCACCCAAUCUUCACUGGACUGAAUUAAAUAAAAAUUAAUUGCUGGGGUCUCAGCAAGGAUGGUCAUAAGAAAAAUUGUGAAGCAAGACAUAUUCCCUUUCAGAGUGGUUGCCUGUUUUUUGGAGUUCUUCUCUUGUCCCAGGGGUUCAGGGACCUUCUGGGACCCUUUUCCUUUCAAAGGAAAGGAAGAGAACUCUUUCAACCUAUCAAUGAAUCUGCAAAUGUAUGUGGUCCUGUGGUGUGCCAAGUACUCUGCAAGGGAGUAUGAGAAGGCUGGAGAGGAAAAGGUCUUUGAGGAGCUCCAUCUAGUUGAGGACUACAAGAUGUAAACAUAUUGAAGGGUGACCAAAUUGAGGUGCAGAGACCUGGGUCCAAGAACAAAUGAGCUAUGGGGUGUGGGAAGGACCGUGGUUCCUAGUCCGUCCUUGUUGAGUUACACCCCACUGUCUUCUAAGAGACAAGGAGAAGGCUUUAGGUUGAGAAUUUUCCAGGAUGAAGUCACCUUCAUGCUGUGGUUUGCAGCUGGAUAAAGUCUAAAGUGUAGUUCUUGACCCAACUCACGAAUCCCCCCACCAACAAAGAUCCUUUAGGGCAGUGGUCCCUAAACCUGGUUUCGUGGAAGACAACUUUUCCAUGCACAGGGGAGAUGGUGGGAUGGUUCAGGCGGUAAUGCAAGCGAUGGGGAGCAAUGGGGAGCAGCAGAUGAAGCUUUGAUUGCUCGACCGUCGCUCACCUCCUGCUGUGUGGCCUGGUUCCUAACAGGCCAUGGUACUGGCACCAGUCCGAGGCCCGGGGGCUGGAGACCCCUGCUUUAGGGGAUUUAACAAUUUAAAUUUCAUCAAAGUAGGGAAAUACAGGACAAACUUGAGCUGCCCAAAUCUUUGGUAAGGAGAAUGACUUUUGUUGUGACUUGCUAUUCUCUGGCACUUCUUCAACCCAACCAGAAAAAAAGAAUAGGAUGAAAGAAUAAUGAGGCCAAAGCUAACCCAACCCUGGUCUCUACCUGUUUCUGCAAAAUCAAGAUUUAGAAAGCUGCAGCUUCAACUACCAGACAGUUGGCCCUCAGCCCUUCUGUGAAAGUCAAUGCCUUUCUCCCGUCUGUGGUUCCUCUUUGUCCUUGCUCCUUGCCAAGCAAUGGUGUGUGUGUGUGUGUGUACGUGUGUGUGUGUGUGUGUGUGUGUGUGUGUGUUUCUUACUUCUUCAACUAAAGGAGUGAUUCUCAACCUGGGGUGAUUUUGCCCCAUCCUUCCUAAAUAUUUGUCAAUGUCUGGAGACAUGUUUGAUUGUCACAACUGGGUGUGCUACUGGUAUCUAGUGGGUAGAGGCCAGAGAUGCUGCUAAACAUCCUACCAUGCACAGGACAACUCCCACAUCACAGAGUUACAUGGCCUAAAAUGUCAAUAUUCCUAAGGUUGAGGAACACUGCUCUAAAUGGUUAGAUGUGAGGCCUUACUGGUCAUAGAACAGUGCAUAGAGAAGCCUCCAUUAAGGAACAGUUAGCAACCAUAAGUUGUUUCUGGUAAAACAACAGCAAGAUAGUGAGAUGGGUAGAUACACGGGCUUUUUGAGCCCACAAUCUGAACUCUGCCACUCAGCAGCAAGAUGUCAUUGACAAGUUAGUUACCUUCUCUCUACCUAUUGGGAAAACAUAAUUAAAAACACAAUCUCCUCCCAACCCAGAAAACCUUGCUACAAAGGUAGAAGGAAAAGAAAACAAUUUUAUUAUUGAUUAAACAUGAAUGUGAUACACAUCACAAGCAACCUGCUAAAGGGAUUGCUAAAACAGAAAGAAAUCUCACUCAUAUAGUUAAGGGGAUCCAAUCUGUUACAUUAGGUGGGUUUUGCAAUUGACGGUCUGGUGACCAGUAGACCCAUCUCUUCCCAGCACACUGGAACACUGGUCACUGGCUUUCUUGAUGAUUACAUUUCAAAGAGAUAGCUCCCAGUCCUUGAGUUGUGGGACUGGCCAGCAGCUUAUCUAGCCAUUAAAAAGAUUUAUGUACAUUUGAAAAGGACAAAGAAAGAAGUUCUGCAAGAAAGGGCAGAGCUGUGAAUCUCUUCCCUUCUUUUUCAACAGAGGGGCUGAAACCUCUAAUUUUUAAUUUGUAUUUGCCUUUAUAUACCUCAACUUACUUGUAUAUAAAAAGAGGAGAAUAAUAGUAAUAAUAAUAUUUACUUCUUAGAGUUGCUGUAAGAAUUAUAUGAGUUAAAACAUGUAUUAAGUUGUUAUAUUGAUUAAACAAGGAGACCAUUAGAAUGAGGUAGCUCUCAUGCUGUCAGUGGCGUACAUACACAAACCAAAAUCCAUGCCUGUAAAUGCCUCAAGUUUACAAAAUCAAAAUGCUAAGGACAACCGAUCACAGCCAACUAGACUUCAAGCUAUAGCCAAUCAAAUAAUUUCCUUUCUUUGCUUCCCUCUCCAUAAAGUCUUACCAUUGGCUCCUACUGGUGGAGCACUCCUAACCACUUCCAGUUUGGUGCUGCCCAGCUGGAAUUGAAUUUUGCUCAGAUAAACUCUUAAAAUGUAAAAGUAUGCCUCAGUUUAUGUUUAACAGGGUUUAAACCAGUGUUUGGCACUCAAUAAAUGUCUGCUGCUUUAAGGCCUUGUGAUAGUCAGAAUUGUAAGGUGGGCCCAACAUUCCUGCCCCUGGGGAUACACUCAUUGUGUAAUUCCCUCUCCUUGAAUAUGGGCAGAACCUUUGGAUCAAGGGCACAUCACUCUUGUAAUGAGUUUACUCACCAGUUGACUCUGAGUUCAUUUAAUGGGAGAUUAUCUAGUGGGCCUGAUGGAAUCACACAGGUCCUUUACAACUGGGUCUAGAAGUCAAGAGACAGAAAAAAACAGAAUGAUUGGAAGCAAAAGAGGGCCUAUGGAGGAGGCCAUGUGGCAGUGAACAGCAGGUGGCCUCUAGGAGCACAGAGUGGCCCUGGCAGACAGCCAGCAAGAGAACAGGGGCCUCAGUCCCACAACCACAAGCAACUGAAUUCUGCUAACAACCACAUAAACUUGGAAAAGGACCCCGAGCUCCAGAAAGGAAUGCAGCCUUGCCAACACCUUUAUUUCAGUUCUGUGAAACCCUAAGCAGAGGACCUAGCUCACUUGGGCCUGGACUUCUGACCUACAGAAACUGUAUAGAUAAUAAAUGAUUGUUGUUUUAAACCUCUAA